rnacentral:rRNA from 1 species
AACGAACGCUGGCGGCAUGCCUAAUACAUGCAAGUCGAACGAACACUUCGGUGUUAGUGGCGCACGGGUGCGUAACGCGUGGGAAUCUACCCUUGGGUUCGGAAUAACUUCGGGAAACUGAAGCUAAUACCGGAUGAUGACGUAAGUCCAAAGAUUUAUCGCCCAGGGAUGAGCCCGCGUAGGAUUAGCUAGUUGGUGGGUUAAAGGCUAACCAAGGCUACGAUCCUUAGCUGGUCUGAGAGGAUGAUCAGCCACACUGGGACUGAGACACGGCCCAGACUCCUACGGGAGGCAGCAGUAGGGAAUAUUGGACAAUGGGCGAAAGCCUGAUCCAGCAAUGCCGCGUGAGCGAUGAAGGCCUUAGGGUUGUAAAGCUCUUUUACCCGAGAUGAUAAUGACAGUAUCGGGAGAAUAAGCCCCGGCUAACUCCGUGCCAGCCGCCGCCGUAA